rnacentral:miRNA from 1 species
UUCCUGGUGGGCCUCGGGGUCC